rnacentral:rRNA from 1 species
GACGUAGGGCGCGAGCGUUGUCCGGAUUUAUUGGGCGUAAAGAGCUCGUAGGCGGCUCGUUGCGUCAAUCGUGAAAACCCGAGGCUUAACCUCGGGCCUGCAGUCGAUACGGGCAGACUAGAGUUCGGUAGGGGAGACUGGAAUUCCUGGUGUAGCGGUGAAAUGCGCAGAUAUCAGGAGGAACACCGGUGGCGAAGGCGGGUCUCUGGGCCGAUACUGACGCUGAGGAGCGAAAGCGUGGGGAGCGAACAGG